rnacentral:rRNA from 1 species
UACAGAGGGUGCAAGCGUUAAUCGGAAUUACUGGGCGUAAAGCGUGCGUAGUCGGUUAUCUAAGUCGGAUGUGAAAUCCCCGGGCUCAACCCGGGAACUGCGUCCGAUACUGGAAGGCUUGAAUCCGGGAGAGGGAUGCGGAAUUCCAGGUGUAGCGGUGAAAUGCGUAGAUAUCUGGAGGAACACCGGUGGCGAAGGCGGCAUCCUGGACCGGCAUUGACGCUGAGGCGCGAAAGCCAGGGGAGCAAACGGG